GACGAACGCUGGCGGCGUGCCUAAUACAUGCAAGUUGAGCGCUGAAGGUUGGUACUUGUACCAACUGGAUGAGCAGCGCACGGGUGAGUAACGCGUGGGGAAUCUGCCUUUGAGCGGGGGACAACAUUUGGAAACGAAUGCUAAUACCGCAUAAAAACUUUAAACACAAGUUUCAAGUUUGAAAGAUGCAAUUGCAUCACUCAAAGAUGAUCCCGCGUUGUAUUAGCUAGUUGGUGAGGUAAAGGCUCACCAAGGCGAUGAUACAUAGCCGACCUGAGAGGGUGAUCGGCCACAUUGGGACUGAGACACGGCCCAAACUCCUACGGGAGGCAGCAGUAGGGAAUCUUCGGCAAUGGACGAAAGUCUGACCGAGCAACGCCGCGUGAGUGAAGAAGGUUUUCGGAUCGUAAAACUCUGUUGGUAGAGAAGAACGUUGGUGAGAGUGGAAAGCUCAUCAAGUGACGGUAACUACCCAGAAAGGGACGGCUAACUACGUG
rnacentral:rRNA from 1 species